CAAACAUUGCUGUUUGUUUUGUGAUGGACAGAUGGAGGAGAAGAGGAGGAAGGAGGUGGAGGAGAGGGACCGCGAAAAGAUGGAGGAGGAGAGGGUCCUCAUCCAGCAGGAGUUUAAGGAGGAGCAGGAGAGGAAGAAAUUGAAAGAGAUCGAGUACCAAGAAUGAAGAGCUGACCCACCAAGCUGAGGAGGAGCGCCGUAAGGAGGCAGACAGGAAGAGCAGGGAGGAGGAAGAGCGAGAGCCUGAGACAACAGGUUGAGAGGGAGAGACGUGUGGAAGGCAGAGAGCCAGGGAGAUCCUUCCCCUCCUAUCCCAGCCCUGCAGAAGAGACUGGGCAAGCAGCACCUCACUCCCAGACCUCUCUCUGCUGUCAGCCAACUCUCCUCUAGGGCACUGUCUAAGCAUUCUAUGUUGGCACUACACUCUCCACCUGUACCUGCCAGUAGAAACCAGCUCCAAGCCAC